AAACUUUCAACAAUGGAUCUCUUGGCUCUGGCAUCGAUGAAGAACGCAGCGAAAUGCGAUAAGUAAUGUGAAUUGCAGAAUUCAGUGAAUCAUCGAAUCUUUGAACGCACAUUGCGCCCGCCAGUAUUCUGGCGGGCAUGCCUGUUC
rnacentral:rRNA from 1 species